CCCUGCCAGCCCCGGCAGCUUCACUAAGUCACCCUGUAGCCCAGGCUUCAUUCCCCCUUGGGUUUACCAAAUCCUGAAGCAGGAAGUGGAUAAUUUUGUGCCAACGCAGGUCUAGACAUAUUAUGUCUUGAUUCUUCUUUUUCCUGUUCCCCUCUUCUCCUUUCAACUCUCCUUCCAAGGAUUGUUUCCAUUUUUCCCUUCUAUCCUCUUUGUUUCCCCUUUCCCCUUCUCUUCCCUUCCCAUUUGAGCAUGUUCUUCGUACUUCCCAAUACCUACCCUCCUUUAUGCUCCAGGAAGCUCUUUUAUGGAACCUAGCUCUUGUUGGUGUACAAACAGUGUUUCCAUCUGCCUUCCUCUACUUCUCCUUGCUGUAGGAUGAGGUUAGGGCAGAGCAGCCCAUGGCCAAGGGGCAGGCAAGCCCUUGAGGUCUGGGCCUGGCAUUACCUGGUGGCUCUGUCCCUCCCCAGAGCCGUGGUGUGACCAGACAACUGUUAUUGGGCCCAGCUCCAUCCUGCCUCUGGUAGCCACGAGGUGGACAUCGGAAAAGAAAGGCCAGAGUAACUGACGGUGCGCACACCCCUUCCUCUCCUGCAGCUGCCACCAUGCUGAGCUCUGAGCAGGCCCUGAACAAGCUGCUGAUGCGCAAGGAGGAGGAGUGGCGUGUGCUGCAGGCCCAGCGGAGCCAGCUGCAGGAGACAGCUCUGCAGGACACUCAGCGCCAGCUGGAGGAGGCAAGGGAGAAGUUACGGCGCCUUCAGGAGGACUUCGUUUACAACCUACAGGUGCUGGAGGAGCGGGACCGUGAGCUGGAGCGCUAUGACGCUGCGUUUGCCCAGGCCAGGGCCCAGGAGGAGGCCAGGCAGGCAGAGGUGAGCGAGCUCAAGAUAGAGGUGGCCAAGCUGAAGCAGGAGCUCGCCAGAGAGGCCAGACGUGUGGAGGAGCUGCAGGAGCAGCUGCGGCUCAGGUUGCAGGAGCAUCGCCUGGAGCUGGGCCGCAUCCAGAGUGACAAGAACGGCGAGAUCGACCACCAGCGGGAGCAGUACGAGAACCUGAAGUGGAGGCUGGAGAGGACGCUCGAGGAACUCGAUGGCGAACUUGCUCUGCAGAGACAGGAGCUGCUGCUGGAGUUUGAAUCCAAGAUGCAGAAGAAGGAGCAUGAGUUCCGCCUGCAGGCCGACAGCAUGAGCAGCACAGUCUUGGCCCAUGAGCUCAAGGUUAAACUACUGAGCAAAGAGCUGGAGGCACUGAGGGCCGCGGGAGCUCAGGCGGCCGAGUGCCUGCAGAGAGCAGAGGCAGCGAACGCCAAGCUAGAGCAGAAGCUGGAGGGCUGCGGCUGGGAGCUCCGGGACCUGGAAGCCGUGAAGGACGCCCGGAUAAAGGACCUAGAGGCGACACUUCACUCUGCACAGCUGGCCAGGAAGAAAGACGAGGAGACGUUCAACAGGAAACACGAGGAGCUUGACCGUCUGGCCAGAGAGAGAGACGCCGCGCUGGUGGCGGUGAAGGGCGCCCACGCGGAGCAGCUUCGGGCGUCGCAGGCCAGGCUGCAGGAACUCCAGGCCCACUGCGAGAGCCUCGACGGGCAGCUGCGCAGGGCCGAGUGGGCUCAGGCGNNNNNNNNNNNNNNNNNNNNNNNNNNNCGCCCUGAGGGUCGGUGCCCUUUGUGUGCCGGCUUGCUGGUCAGACCAGGGAAGCGGCAGCGGCCAGCUGGGUGCACCUUCCUCUCAGCAGCCCUGCCUUUUCUCGUUUCUGAAGUUGUGUGGUUUGCAUGUGUAGGUCAGUGCACUUACCAUUUGUGGGAAGGGAUAUGCAGUAUGCAAUUUACCUUUCUAACCGCUUCCAGGCGCACGGGCCGCUGGGAUCAGUCACGCACACUGCCGUGCUUGUGCUACCUGCACCGCCCCUCCAGCCCUCUCCCCCAGCUGAGCCUCAGUGCCUAUUCAACGGCUCUGUGUCCCCUCCUCUGA
rnacentral:lncRNA from 1 species